CAGCCGCGGGCUGAAGGGCUCCUCAAGCACGGCCAGACUGGAGGCGGAGAGCGAGUGAGGGCUGCUAGUACAUUGUCACCUCUCACCCUCAGAAGGCUGAGCUGGUGGGGGCUGAGUUCUGUUACGUGUGACAGCAACGUCUAGGCCAAGCUUGUCCAACUUGCGGCCCACCAGCUGCAUACAACUCUGGACGGCUUUGAAUGCAGCCCAACACAAAUUCGUAAACUUUCUUAAAACAUAGUGCGUUUUUUUUGUUUUUUUUUUUUUGUUUUUUUAAGCUCAUCAGCUAUCAUUAACGUCAGUGUAUUUUACGUGUGGCCAAAGGCAAUUCUUCCAUUGUGGCCCAGGGAAACCAAACUGAAAGAUUGGACGCUCCUGGUCUAGGCUCUCGAUUGCUGAACUCGUUUCCUCUCAGCUGUUGAUUCCCGACAUUUGAGGACUUUUUCUGUCCCCUCUGCUCUUCCUGCCCAAGAGGCAAUAUCUGCCUUUCCCCACAAGGGUGCGUUCAUUCAGGCAACAGCUUUGAGAACCACAUAGUAUCAUUUCCACUCUGAUCCAUUGGUUGGACAAGUCCCUGCCCAAGUUUAAGUGGAGGAAACAUAGAGCCCAUCUCUUGUGGGGAGAA
rnacentral:lncRNA from 10 species